CAAGGAGUAAGAGAAAAGCUGAAAGGGAAGUUGUAGAGAUUGGGAGCAGUGACGAAGAGGAGGAAAGAGAGGUCAUAAUGAGCAGCAGUAGCAGUGAAGGGGAGGAAGAAGAGGAAGCAAGAGUUAGUCAUAAUGAGCAGAAAAGAGAAGUUUAUUAAUGACUAUAGUGCCUUCAGUUAUUAAACAGAUUCCUGCAAGGAUGAAAUUUUAUCUUGGAGAUAUGAUAGAUUUAGAUGAAGAUGAUGAUGAGCAGGAAUUUGAGAUUCAACAUCUGAAGAAUUAUCCGCCUAAAGCAAAAGAUCCAGGUUG
rnacentral:lncRNA from 1 species